rnacentral:rRNA from 1 species
ACGAACGAGGUUGGUGCAGUGGUCGCGCAGGUUCAAGCACUGCCAAAGGUGCCGGUGCGUCGACGAAGAUCGUCCCGCGCCGUCGACCGGAGGCGGUGCCGUACUCCUCGUGACCAUUGACCAGCAGCGGUUGGGCCGGANCCAUAAGGCAGCAGUGGAAGGUGAGUCGGUGCGAGCCUGUCUUGCAUUGACAGCUUAUAGCCCUGUCUGUACGGUGCUCCGGCGUGACCGAGGAAGCUGGGCAGCCCUUGCCCAUUGUGGUGCACGCCGAAUGGCGGGGCCUCCCGACAGGAGCAAACCGUGCGGUGUGGACUGCAUGCAGUGCUCACUGUUGCGGUGAACUCGUGCCGGAGAGCGCCACUGGUGUGCCAGUGCUGCUGGUGUUCAGAUGGCCUCGUCCGA